UCCUAUGACGAUGUUAUCCAAUUAGUUGAGAGUAGUGGAACUGAGACCCUGUUCGCAGGGAGAACCCCUUGGGGAAACUGCAUUCGUAUGACAAUAGUGGGGAUCUAACUGAGGC